CCGCCGACCGCCUGUUACGGCGCCCGCGCUUCCGAUUGGCGCACUGGGCGGGCGACCGCGGGCGGAAGUGGUAGAGGUGGGAAGGCGGGGCCGCCGCCAGGAGGCUCGACGCCAGGAUGCUCCCGCCUGGGGCUGGUCCCCGCGAUGCCUUUCCUGACUAAGGCCCGGUGGUGGGGCGAGGCCCACGAGCGCUUUCGGUGGCCCGGCAUCCAGAGCCUCCAGAUGAAAACUCAGCUCAGCUGACCCCUUUAUUUCUGCUUUGUGGUUCACUUAGUAGAGGACCCAGUCACACCAUGCUGGACGUCAGAACUACGGAAUUAAAUCUUCUGACAUCUUCAACUGCUCUGUGAAAUCUACUAUGCUAUGGUAAUAAGAAGUCCUCUAUGUGAUCAUAGGUCUGAGCUAAAGGAGGUGCACAGGAACAAUAUUGAAUGAGAAAAAGGAGCCUUAAACUUCCAAGAUCACACAACGAUUUGUUGGAGGACCUAAGAAUUCAAACCCAGUUUUAUCUGUUAAGAUACAACUUCUCUGAGAAGCAGGAGUAAAACUUCAAUCGAUCAGCUGUUUAUUUCGGAAAAAUGAGUUUGUGAUAGUUCUGCUUGAUUUCAGACUCUAAGAAAAAUCAGGAAAAACUGGAGGUAAUGUGGUGUGAUGUUAAGAACACCUGGGACUGAAGGUGACUAAGCCGGAAUGAGGAAUUUAUCUCUGAGACCCUCUCCCUUCCACAUGUUUUAUUUUGCAAGGUUCCUCCUGAUUUGUUAGGACAAGACAAUGGCAGUAUUUGGAUCACAGAACUAAUGAUAAUGGAAACGACCAACUAGUGAGAAGCCUUGCUGCCCAGAGGGGGAAGAUGGGCAGCGGGCACAGCUGCACUAUAUAAGCUCUGAGAUGCAUCAUUUCCCAGUUCCUCUCCUGUGGUACAAACUCAUGGAUGUGAAGGGCACAUCUGGCUCUCAUCGGUCGCCCUGUGGAGGCUUGGAGCACAGGGAACCAAUGCCAAGAUUCUUACUAUCACAUUUACCCAGGACCCAUGGUAAUAUCAUCCACUCGACGAUGGUUGGUGGUGGACCUUGCCUGUUCAAGUCUGACCUGUCGAUGUGCUGAGAGGCAAGCAGCAGCAGGAACAAAAAAGUCAAAUAAGAUGCUGUGUGGCAGAUGAACUUGAUAAAUGGCUUUCGGAUGAACAGUCCGAGGGGGCUUUUGGGAGCUAUAAGGUAGCACACAGAGAAGACGGGAAAGAGAAGUCCUAUUAUGAAACACGUCACCAUCUUCACGGCCCAGUGUCUUCUCCUCCAGCCGGGAAACUCAUCGUACCAGCGAGAUGCCAGCAGUUGUUGACAGUUGGGCUGAGCAACAAACUACAGGGAAAGGAAAGGAAAAGUGAGAGUCAGGGUUACACGCAGGGGCUCCAGCUCAUCAACAGGAACACAGUGUUAUCGUUCAAGUCACAAGUUCUGUUCAAAACAUAAAAUAAUUUUAUGUUUACACCAUCAUAAAGUGCUUUAAGCCGUUCUGUGAACAAAGCUCAUUUAUUGAACAUUUUAUACCCACGGCAAAGUGCUGAGUGCUUAGCCAGACACAACAGGGGUCAAAAUACUAUGGCUGUACCUUAGGAAGCAAAGAUAGAGCUGAGGACUAAGAAUAUCCAUAGGAUGUAUUGAUAACUGAACAGAGCUGUGUACAAAGAUAUACACAUAUAUGUGCAUAUAUAAGAAUUGUGAUAUAUAUAUAGGUA